GCCGGUUUUGCUUAGAGGUUAGAGCAUCACAUUUGAAAUGGGAUGGUCAUCGGUUCGAAUCCAAUAACCGACU
rfam:Vigna radiata var. radiata cultivar VC1973A scaffold_7, whole genome shotgun sequence